rnacentral:rRNA from 1 species
GUUAGGAAUAUUGGACAAUGGGCGCAAGCCUGAUCCAGCCAUGCCGCGUGAGUGAUGAAGGCCUUCGGGUUGUAAAGCUCUUUAGUCCACGAAUAUAAUGACUGUAGUGGAAGAAUAAGCCCCGGCUAACUUCGUGCCAGCAGCCGCGGUAAUACGAAGGGGGCGAGCGUUAUUCGGAAUCACUGGGCGUAAAGCGUGCGUAGGCUGUUUUGUAAGUCAGAAGUGAAAGCCCAGGGCUUAACCCUGGAAUUGCUUUUGAAACUACAAGACUCGAAUUCGGUAGAGGAUAGCGGAAUUGUCAGUGUAGCAGUGAAAUGCGUAGAUAUUGACAGGAACACCAGUGGCGCAAGCGGCUAUCUGGACCGAUAUUGACGCUGAGGCACGAAAGCGUGGGGAGCAAACAGGAUUAGAAACCCGGGUAGUCC